CAAAAGAUACAUAUAAUGGCUAUAUUGGACUAUGGUUAAUGUUCAGUAAUACUGUUUCCUCACAAAUAUCCUAACUAAAACGAAAAUUUGCGAAUCUGAAACAACUUUUUUCAAUUUUGUCAAUUAACCAAACCGUGAAAAGAUCCCUUUAAAUUUAUUGGUUAAUAACUUGUGUAGGUAUCCUCGAGGAGUUAUCCUCGUGGAGUGUAGUGAUGUACAGAUCACAUUGACCACGGAGUUCAGAGCGGGAAUACGUAUUCUUCGGGCAUUUAUUUCACGUUCAGAAUUCGUUAGUUUUAUCUUCUUUGUUAUACAGUUUCACCAAUGGACGAACGAGGCGUGAUUGGAUUGUGUGAGUGAAGAGAUAGUAUUCAGAACCACAUUUUGAUUGCGGAAUCUCUUCAUUCAAGAUGUACUUUAGUAUCGGUGUAUAAUUAACAUAUGCUAUUUAUGGUGAACUUAUUAUAUAUUAAAAA